rnacentral:rRNA from 1 species
GGAGUUUGGACCGUGUCUCAGUUCCAAUGUGGGGGACCUUCCUCUCAGAACCCCUACUGAUCGAUGGCUCGGUGGGCCGUUACCCCGCCGACUACCUAAUCAGACGCAUCCCCAUCCCAUAGCGGUGAAUCUUUAUUCCAUCUCAGAUGUCUUUAAUGGAAACCAUAGGGCAUUAAUCUUACUUUCGCAAGGCUAUUCCCUACUUAUGGGCAGGUUGGAUACGCGAUACUCACCCGUGCGCCGGUCGUCAUCAAAGAAAGCAAGCUUUCUUCAUGUUACCCCUCGACUUGCAUGUGUUAAGCCUGUAGCUAGCGUUCAUC